CGCCACUCGCAUCCCAUCCCCAUCGGGCCAGGAUAUGCGGGGCGGAGAUUGGCCUCCCGUGCGUGCUUCGCGCGGAUGGCUCAAAUUAGACCCCUCGGCGACGCACGCCACGACCAUUGGUGGUUGAUUGCUCAGCUCACGUGCGGUCGUGCUCUGCGGUGCUGCCAAAGGGGUAUGGACCCACCGGCAUGUUUUGCCAGCAUUU
rnacentral:misc_RNA from 1 species